rnacentral:rRNA from 1 species
UACGGGGGGGGCAAGCGUUGUUCGGAAUUACUGGGCGUAAAGGGCUCGUAGGUGGCCAACUAAGUCAGACGUGAAAUCCCUCGGCUUAACCGGGGAACUGCGUCUGAUACUGGAUGGCUAGAGUUUGGGAGAGGGAUGCGGAAUUCCAGGUGUAGCGGUGAAAUGCGCAGAUAUCGGGAGGAACACCAAUGGCGAAGGCAGCUCGCUGGGACGGUACUGACGCUGAGACGCGAAAGCGUGGGGAGCAAACAGG